rnacentral:rRNA from 1 species
UGGGGAAUAUUGGACAAUGGGCGAAAGCCUGAUCCAGCAAUGCCGCGUGCAGGAAGAAGGCCUUCGGGUUGUAAACUGCUUUUGUACGGAACGAAAAGGUCCUUUCUAAUAAAGAGGGCUUAUGACGGUACCGUAAGAAUAAGCACCGGCUAACUACGUGCCAGCAGCCGCGGUAAUACGUAGGGUGCGAGCGUUAAUCGGAAUUACUGGGCGUAAAGCGUGCGCAGGCGGUUCUAUAAGACAGAUGUGAAAUCCCCGGGCUCAACCUGGGAAUGGCAUUUGUGACUGUAGAGCUAGAGUACGGUAGAGGGGGAUGGAAUUCCGCGUGUAGCAGUGAAAUGCGUAGAUAUGCGGAGGAACACCGAUGGCGAAGGCAAUCCCCUGGACCUGUACUGACGCUCAUGCACGAAAGCGUGGGGAGCAAACAGGAUUAGAUACCCUUGUAGUCCCUGAGCGGGCUGGCAAGGCGCAU